rnacentral:rRNA from 1 species
AUUGAACGCUGGCGGCAUGCCUUACACAUGCAAGUCGAACGGCAGCACGGGAGCAAUCCUGGUGGCGAGUGGCGAACGGGUGAGUAAUAUAUCGGAACGUGCCCAGUCGUGGGGGAUAACGUAGCGAAAGCUACGCUAAUACCGCAUACGAUCUAUGGAUGAAAGCGGGGGAUCGCAAGACCUCGCGCGAUUGGAGCGGCCGAUAUCAGAUUAGGUAGUUGGUGAGGUAAAGGCUCACCAAGCCGACGAUCUGUAGCUGGUCUGAGAGGACGACCAGCCACACUGGGACUGAGACACGGCCCAGACUCCUACGGGAGGCAGCAGUGGGGAAUUUUGGACAAUGGGCGCAAGCCUGAUCCAGCAAUGCCGCGUGCAGGAUGAAGGCCUUCGGGUUGUAAACUGCUUUCGUACGGAACGAAACGGUGAGCUCUAAUACAGUUUGCUAAUGACGGUACCGUAAGAAUAAGCACCGGCUAACUACGUG